rnacentral:lncRNA from 7 species
GUGCACCAGAACCGUGGGUCCGAGUCGUCAGCCGCGACCGCACCCACCUCGCCGCUAAUGGCGGACGCGCGUCGGGAAAUUGGGGAUAGGUAGUUGAAGACCGGGUCGCCCUGCUCCUUGGACUAUAAGAGCUCUACCAUCGUAACCCUCUCCUCCGCAUGUGCCAACAGCCUCUACCCUAACGCCGUAGUCCAUCGCCGAGAACACAGAGAGAGGAGUGGAGGUCUAGGGCGCCGCCGACGUCGUCUGCGGUCGUCACCUCCGUUCAGUACUCGCGUACAAAUUCCGGGGAAGCUUCGUGUCGUGAGGGACCUGGGUAGACCUCUCGCAUGGGAAUUGGCCGGACUCGCGGGGAAUUUCUCUCUGUCGCUCAAGGUUCGCCGCCGACCGCAUCACAACGUGGCUGGGAACCUCCGCACCAUAAACACCGAGAGGUUACGAGGAUCUGAAGAAUCACCUUGGUAACUGGAAUCUCAAGUGCCAGGAGAUGAACAGGUGGUUCAAGAGGAGCCAUACAACGAGGAGUUUGAUUCAAUUCUAGGUGGUGUCUCCGAGUCGACUUUCUAGCGCUAAGGAUGGAUUUUAGAUCAUGUUAUAUUUAUCUUUUAUUUUGUAAGACUUCCGCUAUGUAAUAAGUACUCUGAUUAUAUUGUGAUAUUUAUCU